rnacentral:rRNA from 1 species
GUUGAACGCUGGCGGCAGGCUUAACACAUGCAAGUCGAGCGGAGAUGAGGUGCUUGCACCUUAUCUUAGCGGCGGACGGGUGAGUAAUGCUUAGGAAUCUGCCUAUUAGUGGGGGACAACAUUCCGAAAGGAAUGCUAAUACCGCAUACGUCCUACGGGAGAAAGCAGGGGAUCUUCGGACCUUGCGCUAAUAGAUGAGCCUAAGUCGGAUUAGCUAGUUGGUGGGGUAAAGGCCUACCAAGGCGACGAUCUGUAGCGGGUCUGAGAGGAUGAUCCGCCACACUGGGACUGAGACACGGCCCAGACUCCUACGGGAGGCAGCAGUGGGGAAUAUUGGACAAUGGGGGGAACCCUGAUCCAGCCAUGCCGCGUGUGUGAAGAAGGCCUUAUGGUUGUAAAGCACUUUAAGCGAGGAGGAGGCUACUGAGACUAAUACUCUUGGAUAGUGGACGUUACUUGCAGAAUAAGCACCGGCUAACUCUGUGCCAGCCGCCGCGGUAACAC